GAUGAACGCUGGCGGCGUGCUUAACACAUGCAAGUCGAACGGAAAGGCUCCUGCUUGCAGGGGUACUCGAGUGGCGAACGGGUGAGUAACACGUGGGUGAUCUGCCCUGCACUUCGGGAUAAGCCUGGGAAACUGGGUCUAAUACCGGAUAGGACCACAUUUUGGAUGGUGUGGUGGAAAGUUUUUCGGUGUGGGAUGAGCUCGCGGCCUAUCAGCUUGUUGGUGGGGUAAUGGCCUACCAAGGCGUCGACGGGUAGCCGGCCUGAGAGGGUGUACGGCCACAUUGGGACUGAGAUACGGGCCAGACUCCUACGGGAGGCAGCAGUGGGGAAUAUUGCACAAUGGGCGCAAGCCUGAGGCAGCGACGCCGCGUGGGGGAUGACGGCCUUCGGGGUGUAAACUCCUUUCGCUAGGGACGAAGCGUUUUUGUGACGGUACCUGGAGAAGAAGCACCGGCUAACUACGUG
rnacentral:rRNA from 1 species